GGUAAUCAAUCCUGAUUAUGUUUCUAAAGACGGUUCGGUGGCUAGAUCUGAAAGUCGUUGUCGCCGAUUCAAAUCAUCAGCGUCUAGGGUUCGACUGGUUUCAUGAAGUGCACAUCAACGUUGCUACACAUACCGAUAAAAGACUCUUUGUUCCUGUCAUAAGGGGGUGUUUCAAAUCUAGGGGGCCCGUUUGUGGUCAAGCAGUUUUGCACCAUCAUAAAUCCAUCCCAAGCUGAUACUCUAUCACUUGGAAAUGGUGAGUAGAUGAAUAAGUUCAUUUCAAAUCAAAUAGAGCCAAGCCAACAAUGGGUUGGAAUAUGCAAGUAGAGACAAUGGGUUUGAAUAGGCAAGCCAAAAGUAGGUUAAAUUCUUGACAUUUAGAAUGUGUUUAUAGUCUGAUGGUUCAAGUGCGCGAUAAUUGGCGAGAUCAGUCUAAUGGAUCAAUCGUCACAUUUGGUUAGUAUUACUGUAUUAGUAUUUUUUAUACCAUUCUAUUAAUGAGCCCAAGUUUGUUUGUUUGUAAGCCAUAAGUGAUUGAAAUGUGCAUGGUUGAAUUUUUUACCUCAAAUAUGUUGCACGUG